CCAGUGCAGUUAACCCUUUCCCCGCUUUAGCCGACUAUAGUCGGCAUGGCUACUGAUAAAUUUCAAAAAAUCGUUGUGCACGCUGUGUUGGAGCUAUGCGCACGCUGCAGGUACCAGCACAUGCGCAUUGAGCUGCUCUUCCUCGUGGUAUUUUUAAUAUUUUGCUUCGAGGUACGGUUCGAUCAGAAUUGUCGAAAGAAAAGUGACCGUUUUAUAAUUGCUACAAGAUCUUCGUAGUACAACCUCAGGGAGGUUCUAGGGAAGCUAGAGAGUGAGAAUAUAGAUGCCUAUGGCCUUGUAGAGUGAGAGGACAGUGACUGGGAUCAUAGCUAGGUAGGAAGCUUCCUUUCAGAGGUCAAGCUAAAAAGAAAGAGCCUGAGAAUCCUGAGGAAGACGCACUUGAGGUGGACCAUCUUCCUGAACCUGGUGAAGAAAAUAUUUCCCGGGAAAAGGGUGUCUGCCGAUAGAACCUCAAAUACAAGUUUCUGCAGAUCCUGAUUGAGUCCUGAGUCAGCCAUGUCACCGUGAGAACAUUCUGAACACUUAUAUCAUGUGUUCAGUCACUUCGUAACAUCACACAAUAUUGUUUGUGUACAUAAUUAUAAAUUUUUGUUAACAA